GAAAAGCUACAUGUGUCCCUCAAGCAAGCAUAUCCCACUGAAAGAGCACUGCAAUGCGUAGCUCAGCUCCUGGAGCAUAAUGCAAGCCUUUUGAUCCUCAAGCAUCCUGAUACAGCAGGGAUGCCAAGCCUCUUUCAGCCCAAGAGCCAGCUUUGACUGCAGAGAAGCUGGAGUGGGCAGCAGUGGGCAGGGCUGAAGGAAAAAGGGGGCAGGACCCAAACUAGCAGCCUGUUUCAGAGUAUAGCUCUUACUGCCUAAGCUGCAGGAGAAGCAUGUUAACAUUUUAAAACGGGGGAAAACUGCAAAAGCCAGGAAACCACCCAACACUAAAGAAACACCAACGGUAAGGAAAAAGGGGUCAGGGCCAGGCGAAAGGCGCUGAGCUGUCCGAGGAACUCCAGAGGACCAGAUUUACUUCCCUUUCCCCAGUUCUCAGGUUCUGUAGCCUUGCAAUACAGACACAGCCAUAGUCUGCCUGGUAAACUGAUCUGCUUGCAUCUUCUUUCUUAAUGCUCUUCUCCAACAUUCACCAUUUUUGACUCUCUAUGUUCUGGUGGUUCCAUCUGGCUGCAUCCUGGAUUCCUGAAUCCUACACCACAUUCUUGGCCCAUCCAUCCCUGAGAAUGUACUUUAUGGAGAGAUUUUCAAGGAGAUUUCUGCAGAAGUAACCUGCUCUUCUGCCAGGAAAGCACCUCAAAGACGGGACGGGACACGUACAUGGCAUGAAGCUUUUCUAGGCCAAGGAUGCAUAAACCUGUCAGUCCUGGAGCCAGUAUCCAGUGCCCAGUGCGGUGGCCAAGACCACACAUGUUCAGUAUGCACAGACCACACAUGCGCAUAAGCACACAUUCAAGUAGAACUCCUAUCACAGUCAAGACACUCUUCCUCUCCACUGUGGGCAGCAUCAGUGGCAAAUACCAGUUUGGGCUGGCUACCCUACAUGAGCAAACUUAUCAGAAAUCUGGUGAAGUAGAGAGAACCACCAAGGUGUGAUGAGCUCAAGAUACAAGGUCUCUAGGAAGGACAAGGAAGGGGGUUCUGUAUAUUUACUGUUGCUCCGCACCUGAAGGAGGACCUUGAGCUGGAAUCCAACAAGCUAGAAAUCUCAGAUGGGGAAGACUCCCCCACAAGAUCACUGUGGGGGAGGGCACUGCGAGCCCCCAAAGUAAUUUGGUAGCAGGAAAAUAUUCUCACACAUCUCACAAAAAUGUUCAGAGCAUCCUUGGGACAAAGAAUGAAAGCAGGGAGACACCCAAGGAAGAAAGGGGUUCGGUGACGGCUGACUUCAACUGCCCUCAUGUAAACCGGGUAAAUGCAUUCCCACGGUGGCCAGCUAGAUGUCUAGGCACCUUACAGGCAGCACUUGAGGAUAGCAGCCUCCUUUCCUGCCAUUCCUUUCCAUUGUGGGGCACACGGUGUGUGAUUCAGGAAGGCCCAUAUAACCAGCAGUCAUUGACAGCCAUAUCCUCCACGAAUUUGUCUAAUCUGCUUUCAGAGCCAUCUAAGUUGGUAGCCUUUACCACAUCUUGACACAACAAAUUCCGUAUGUGCUGCGUCAAGAAACACUUUUGUCUGUCUUGACUCUCCCACCAGUCAGCCUGGUUAGAUAACCCUGGACUCUGCUAUUAUGAGAAAGGGGGAAAUGUAUCUCUAUCCAUGUUUUUUAAACUCUGUGCAUAUUUUUAUAGAUCUUAUUCACCUUCCCCCCAAAAACUAUUUUAUUGUUAUAUUUAUAUCCCAACUUUUUUCAAGAAUCUGAAGCUGGCUUACAUAAUUCUCCUCCUCUCUAUCUUACCCCCCAACAACAACCCUGUGAGGAAGGUUGGACUGAGAGUCUGUGACUGGCCCAGAGUCACCCAGUUGGCUCCAUGGCUGAGUGGGGACUAGAGCCCUGAUUUCCUCGGCCCUAGUCUCACACUGCCCCAAAUGUAACUUUUCCUCAUAGGGAAGAUGUUCCAGCCCCCUGAUUUUUCCAGUUCAACCUUUUCUAUACCUUUUUCUAUCUCCUUUUUGAAAUUCUGUGACCAAACCUGCACACAGUAUUCCAGGUGUGGCUGCACUAUAAAGGUGUAUGAAGGCA